rnacentral:rRNA from 1 species
UGGGGAAUAUUGCACAAUGGGGGAAACCCUGAUGCAGCGACGCCGCGUGAGCGAAGAAGGUUUUCGAAUCGUAAAGCUCUGUUCUAUGGGAAGAUAAUGACGGUACCAUAGGAGGAAGCCCCGGCUAACUACGUGCCAGCAGCCGCGGUAAUACGUAGGGGGCAAGCGUUGUCCGGAAUCACUGGGCGUAAAGGGUUCGCAGGCGGAAAUGCAAGUCAGUUGUGAAAGGCAGAGGCUCAACCUCUGUAAGCAAUUGAAACUGUAUUUCUUGAGAUGUGGAGAGGCAAGUGGAAUUCCUAGUGUAGCGGUGAAAUGCGUAGAUAUUAGGAAGAAUACCGGUGGCGAAGGCGACUUGCUGGACACAAACUGACGCUGAGGAACGAACGCGUGGGUAGCAAACAGU